UACGUAGGGGGCGAGCGUUGUCCGGAUUUAUUGGGCGUAAAGGGUGCGUAGGCGGCCUUGUAAGUCAGAUGUGAAAGAUCAUGGCUUAACUGUGGUAAGCAUUUGAAACUGCAGGGCUUGAGUACAGGAGAGGAGAGUGGAAUUCCUAGUGUAGCGGUGAAAUGCGUAGAUAUUAGGAGGAAUACCAGUGGCGAAGGCGACUCUCUGGACUGAUACUGACGCUGAGGCACGAAAGCGUGGGGAGCAAACAGGAUUAGAUACCCUGGUAGUCCACGCUAUAAACGAUGAGUGCUAGGUGUCGGGGGUCAAACCUCGGUGCCGCAGUUAACACAUUAAGCACUCCGCCUGGGGAGUACGGCCGCAAGACUGAAACUCAAAGGAAUUGACGGGG
rnacentral:rRNA from 1 species